GCUCCAGUAGCCCAGUGGUUAGAGCAUCCACCUCAGAUGCAGGAGGUCAUGGGUUCAAUCCCCGGCCAAGUGAAACC